rnacentral:rRNA from 1 species
GACGAACGCUGGCGGCGUGCUUAACACAUGCAAGUCGAACGGAAAGGCCCUGCUCUUGUGGGGUGCUCGAGUGGCGAACGGGUGAGUAACAUGAGAGUAACCUGCCCUUGACUUUGGGAUAACUUCAGGAAACUGGGGCUAAUACCGGAUAGGAGCUCCUGCUGCAUGGUGGGGGUUGGAAAGUUUGGGCGGUUGGGGAUGGACUCGCGGCUUGCCAGCUUGUUGGUGGGGUUGUGGCUUACCAAGGCUUUGACGGGUGGCCGGCCUGGGAGGGGAACGGGCCACGUUGGGACUGAGAAAGGGCGCAGGCUCCGACGGGUGGCAGCAGUGGGGAAUAUUGCAGAAUGGGCGGAAGCCUGAUGCGGCAGCGCGGCGUGCGGGAUGACGGCCUUCGGGUUAUAAACCGCGUUCGCCUGUGACGGAGCGUGAGUGACGGUAAUGGGUAAAGAAGCACCGGCUAACUACGUG